rnacentral:sRNA from 1 species
ACACACGUACUACAAUGCUACGACAAAAGGGCAGCAAACUCGCGAGAGCUAGCAAAUCCCAUAAACCGUGGCUCAGUUCAGAUCGUAGGCUGCAACUCGCCUACGUGAAGUAGGAAUCGCUAGUAAUCGCAGGUCAGCAUACUGCGGUGAAUACGUUCCCGGGCCUUGUACACACCGCCCGUCACACCAUGGAAGUUGGCCAUGCCCGAAGUCGUUACUCCAACCCUUGUGGAGGAGGACGCCGAAGGUGGGGCUAAUGACUGGGGUGAAGUCGUAACAAGGUAGCCGUACCGGAAGGUGCGGCUGGAUCACCUCCUAACAGGGAGACAACAAAAUGUUUAAUAUUAUUAUUUUGUCACCUUAGGUCGAUCGGUAUCUCACGUUCUUAAUUCGUUAAGAAUUUCAUUUCCUAAGUUUUUCUAGGUCACACCCAUUAUUUUUCCUGGGCCAUUAGCUCAGGUGGUUAGAGCGCACCCCUGAUAAGGGUGAGGUCCCUGGUUCAAGUCCAGGAUGGCCCAUAUCUCUAUGUUGGGGGUAUAGCUCAGUUGGUAGAGCGCCUGCUUUGCAAGCAGGAUGUCAGCGGUUCGAGUCCGCUUACCUCCACUGAUUACCACCUCUUCCAUAACCGAUAGAAAGGAAAUGUUUUGAGUUGUGAUCAUUAUUCUGAACGAAUCUAGCUUCCUAAUGAAACCAUUAAGAUGCUGGACUCAUUGAAUUAAUUUCAUUGUUUUCAGAGAACCUUGACAACUGCAUAGAUUAUUUUUAAAGACAAUAAGCAUCUUUAAUGAUGCAGAUUUAUUAUUUGUGCGAAUGCAUUAAUAACAAUUCUAUUAAGCUGAUGCUUCAAUUUUUGAAGUUAUUGGUCAAGCUACAAAGGGCUCACGGAGGAUACUUAGGCACACAGAGGCGAUGAAGGACGUGGUUACCUGCGAUAAGUCUC